CGGACGGGUGAGUAACGCGUGGGUAACCUGCCUCAUACAGGGGGAUAACGAUUGGAAACGAUUGCUAAUACCGCAUAAGCGCACAGUACCACAUGGUACAGUGUGAAAAACUCCGGUGGUAUGAGAUGGACCCGCGUCUGAUUAGCUAGUUGGUGGGGUAGCGGCCCACCAAGGCAACGAUCAGUAGCCGACCUGAGAGGGUGACCGGCCACAUUGGGACUGAGACACGGCCCAG
rnacentral:rRNA from 1 species